rnacentral:lncRNA from 10 species
CCCCGCCCGCCUAGCGCCCGCGCCCUGGGACGUCCGGGGGCCUGUGACCCGGAGGCGCUGGGGCUGUCCUGGGUCGUCACAUGCGAGAAAUCGUCUCACCCCAGCCAGUGUGACGGAGUGAGAGCAAAAGAAAGUUUUGAUAGCAGCGUACGAUUUAUAUUCAGCUGUAUGCUGGGCAGGUCCAACUUGGCAUUUCUUGGCUGUAUCUCUGAAGGAAAGUCAUCUUAAUCUCUAUGAGCCUCCAUUUCCUCAGCUGUAAAAUGGGAAGAUCUUCCUCACACUGCUGUGGUGAGUUCAGUGUGACAAUGUGAAUAUAAAAGCUUAUACGUGAGAAAGCAUGGCAGAAAAGCUAGGUUUCAUUGUUCUUUUC